rnacentral:pre_miRNA from 1 species
UAGCUUUGUCCUAAGUCAAACUUCUUUAAGUUUGAACAACUAUAUGGAAAGAAAUGCUAACAUUUACAAAAUCAUAUAUACAGUACAAAAAUAUAAUUCAUGGCUAAUCUAAUGAAAUUAUUUUGGUGUUGUAGAUGUCAAUAUAUUUUUCUAUAAACUUGUUCAGACUUAAAGGUUGACUUAGGACAAACUAGA